rnacentral:rRNA from 1 species
UACGAAGGGGGGCUAGCGUUGCUCGGAAUCACUGGGCGUAAAGCGCACGUAGGCGGAUUGUUAAGUCAGGGGUGAAAUCCUGGAGCUCAGCUCCAGAACUGCCUUUGAUACUGGAGAGCUCGAGUCCGGAAGAGGUGAGUGGAACUCCGAGUGUAGAGGUGAAAUUCGUAGAUAUUCGGAAGAACACCAGUGGCGAAGGCGGCUCACUGGUCCGGUACUGACGCUGAUGUGCGAAAGCGUGGGGAGCAAACAGG